rnacentral:rRNA from 1 species
UGCAGUCGAACGGCAGCACGGGAGCAAUCCUGGUGGCGAGUGGCGAACGGGUGAGUAAUAUAUCGGAACGUGCCCUGGAGUGGGGGAUAACGUAGAGAAAUUUACGCUAAUACCGCAUACGAUCUAAGGAUGAAAGCGGGGGACCGUAAGGCCUCGCGCGAUUGGAGCGGCUGAUAUCAGAUUAGGUUGUUGGUGAGGUAAAAGCUCACCAAGCCGACGAUCUGUAGCUGGUUUGAGAGAACGACCAGCCACACUGGGACUGAGACACGGCCCAGACUCCUACGGGAGGCAGCAGUGGGGAAUUUUGGACAAUGGGCGAAAGCCUGAUCCAGCAAUGCCGCGUGCAGGAAGAAGGCCUUCGGGUUGUAAACUGCUUUUGUACGGAACGAAAAGGUCUGCCCUAAUACGGCGGGCCCAUGACGGUACCGUAAGAAUAAGCACCGGCUAACUACGUGCCAGCAGCCGCGGUAAUACGUAGGGUGCGAGCGUUAAUCGGAAUUACUGGGCGUAAAGCGUGCACAGGCGGUGAUGUAAGACAGUUGUGAAAUCCCCGGGCUCAACCUGGGAAUUGCAUCUGUGACUGCAUCGCUAGAGUACGGUAGAGGGGGAUGGAAUUCCGCGUGUAGCAGUGAAAUGCGUAGAUAUGCGGAGGAACACCGAUGGCGAAGGCAAUCCCCUGGACCUGUACUGACGCUCAUGCACGAAAGCG